CCUACGGGUGGCAGCAGUGAGGAAUAUUGGUCAAUGGACGAAAGUCUGAACCAGCCAUGCCGCGUGCAGGAUGACGGCUCUAUGAGUUGUAAACUGCUUUUGUAUUAGGGUAAACACCCCUACGUGUAGGGGCUUGAAAGUAUAAUACGAAUAAGGAUCGGCUAACUCCGUGCCAGCAGCCGCGGUAAUACGGAGGAUCCAAGCGUUAUCCGGAUUUAUUGGGUUUAAAGGGUGCGUAGGCGGACAGUCAAGUCAGCGGUAAAAAUGCGGUGCUCAACGCCGUACAGCCGUUGAAACUGGCAGUCUUGAGUGGGCGAGAAGUAUGCGGAAUACGUGGUGUAGCGGUGAAAUGCAUAGAUAUCACGCAGAACUCCGAUUGCGAAGGCAGCAUACCGGCGCCCGACUGACGCUGAGGCACGAAAGCGUGGGUAUCGAACAGGAUUAGAUACCCGUGUAGUC
rnacentral:rRNA from 1 species